AGCGAACGCUGGCGGCAUGCCUAACACAUGCAAGUCGCACGGGGGGGCUUCGGCCUCCCAGUGGCGGACGGGUGAGGAACGCGUAGGGACCUGUCGAGGGGUGGGGGAUAACCGCGGGAAACUGCGGCUAAUACCGCAUGACGCCGCGGCGUGACAGCCGGGGCCAAAGGCGAAAGCCGCCCGCCGAGGGGCCUGCGUCCGAUUAGCUGGUUGGCGAGGUAGCGGCCCACCAAGGCGUCGAUCGGUAGCUGGUCUGAGAGGGUGAUCAGCCACACCGGGACUGAGACACGGCCCGGACUCCUACGGGAGGCAGCAGUGGGGAAUAUUGGACAAUGGGCGCAAGCCUGAUCCAGCAAUGCCGCGUGGGUGAAGAAGGUCUUCGGAUUGUAAAGCCCUUUCGGCGGGGACGAUGGUGACGGUACCCGCAGAAGAAGCCCCGGCUAACUUCGUG
rnacentral:rRNA from 1 species